rnacentral:tRNA from 1 species
ACCUGGCUGGCUCAUCUGGGAGAGCAUGUGACUCUGGAUCUUGGGGUCAUGAGUUCAAGACCCAUGUUGGGUG